GAUGAAGAACGUAGCGAAAUGCGAUAAGUAGUGUGAAUUGCAGAUUUCAGUGAAUCAUCGAAUCUUUGAACGCACCUUGCGCCUUGUGGUAUUCCACAAGGCAUGCCCGUUUGAGUAUCAUUAAAUCAUCAACUCUAAAACCUUUGUGGUUUUUUUAGAGCUUGGUCUUGAGGGUUUUGCAGGCUUUUUUUUUUUCGAGUCUGCUCCCUUUAAAUGCAUUAGCGAGACUUCCCUAUGCUGAACCGUCUCUUUGACGUGAUAAUUAUCUGCGUCGAAUUUUGGUUCUCGUUGGGCUUGCUUCUAAUCGUCUGUUAAAGACAAAACGGAUUUGGGUGCAUAUAUGCGCCUUUUUCCAAAACCUUUUUUGAUCUCAAAUCGGGUAGGACUACCCGCUGAACUUAAGCAUAUCAAUAAGCGGAGA
rnacentral:misc_RNA from 1 species